rnacentral:rRNA from 1 species
UACGGAGGGUGCAAGCGUUACUCGGAAUCACUGGGCGUAAAGAGCGUGUAGGCGGAUAGGUAAGUCAGAAGUGAAAUCCAAUAGCUCAACUAUUGAACUGCUUUUGAAACUGCUUAUCUAGAAUAUGGGAGAGGUAGAUGGAAUUUCUGGUGUAGGGGUAAAAUCCGUAGAGAUCAGAAGGAAUACCGAUUGCGAAGGCGAUCUACUGGAACAUUAUUGACGCUGAGACGCGAAAGCGUGGGGAGCAAAC